GCCGGGCGUUGUGGCGGGCGCCUGUGGUCCCAGCUACUUGGGAGGCAGAGGCAGGAGACUCGCUUGAGCCCAGGAGUUGGAGGUUGCUGUGAGCUGUAAUGCCACGGCACUCUGCCCAGGGGGACAGCUUGAGGCUCUGUCUCAAAAAAAAAAAAAAAAAAAAACACCAACUCAUACAUUUUUUCUUUUUUUUUUUUUUUGAGACGGAGCCUCAAGCUAUCCCCCCUGGGUAGAGUGCCAUGGCAUCAUGCUCACAGCAACCUCCAACUCCUGGG
rnacentral:sRNA from 1 species